UCAGUAACGGCGAGUGAAGCGGUAACAGCUCAAAUUUGAAAUCUGGGUCUUUCAGGCUCCGAGUUGUAAUUUGUAGAAGAUGCUUUGGGUGCGGUCCCGGUCUAAGUUCCUUGGAACAGGACGUCAUAGAGGGUGAGAAUCCCGUAUGUGAUCGGUGGCUUGCGCCCGUGUAAAGCUCUUUCGACGAGUCGGGUUGUUUGGGAAUGCAGCUCUAAAUGGGUGGUAAAUUUCAUCUAAAGCUAAAUAUUGGCCAGAGACCGAUAGCGCACAAGUAGAGUGAUCGAAAGAUGAAAAGCACUUUGGAAAGAGAGUUAAACAGUACGUGAAAUUGUUGAAAGGGAAGCGCUUGCAACCAGACUUGCGCGGGGUUGAUCAUCCGGGGUUCUCCCCGGUGCACUCGGCCUCGCUCAGGCCAGCAUCGGUUUCGGUGGUUGGAUAAAGGCCUUGGGAAUGUGACUUCUUUCGGGGAGUGUUAUAGCCCUCGGUGCAAUGCAGCCUACCGGGACCGAGGACCGCGCUUCGGCUAGGAUGCUGGCGUAAUGGUUGUAAGCGACCCGUCUUGAAACACGGACCAAGGAGUCUAACAUCUAUGCGAGUGUUUGGGCGUCAAACCCAUACGCGUAAUGAAAGUGAACGGAGGUGAGAACCCUUAAGGGUGCAUCAUCGACCGAUCCUGAUGUCUUCGGAUGGAUUUGAGUAAGAGCAUAGCUGUUGGGACCCGAAAGAUGGUGAACUAUGCCUGAAUAGGGUGAAGCCAGAGGAAACUCUGGUGGAGGCUCGCAGCGGUUCUGACGUGCAAAUCGAUCGUCAAAUUUGG
rnacentral:rRNA from 1 species